rnacentral:rRNA from 1 species
AACGAACGCUGGCGGCAGGCCUAACACAUGCAAGUCGAGCGCCCCAGCAAUGGGGAGCGGCAGACGGGUGAGUAACGCGUGGGAACCUUCCCAAUGGUACGGAAUAGCCCAGGGAAACUUGGAGUAAUACCGUAUACGCCCGAAAGGGGAAAGAUUUAUCGCCAUUGGAUGGGCCCGCGUCUGAUUAGCUAGUUGGUGAGGUAACGGCUCACCAAGGCGACGAUCAGUAGCUGGUCUGAGAGGAUGAUCAGCCACACUGGGACUGAGACACGGCCCAGACUCCUACGGGAGGCAGCAGGUGGGGAAUAUUGGACAAUGGGCGCAAGCCUGAUCCAGCCAUGCCGCGUGAGUGACGAAGGUUC